rnacentral:misc_RNA from 1 species
AAGUCGUAACAAGGUUUCCGUAGGUGAACCUGCGGAAGGAUCAUUAACAAAACACCGGGAGCGGCGGCGGUGGUGGUGGGUGCGUCGCAAGGCGCGUCCGUCAUCCUCGGCGUCCGCAUAUCAUCCCACAUCCACCUUUGUGAAUCGGGCGCGGCGCAGCGAUGCGUCGGGCUUAGUCGGGCGUGGGCGUCGUGUUGGGGCGUGCGUGCCAGCGUGCAUGCAUUCGUCCACACACACACACAUAUCUUAAUGUCUAAUCUUUUGUCGAAAGACACAAAGCAACAUAAAACAACUUUUAACAAUGGAUCUCUAGGCUCUU